CUAAUCAAAUAAUUACAGUAUAUUUGCAGAUUCAUUAUCCAGAUACCUUUGUGUUUAACAUGUCUUCAUUUUUAAAAUGGUUUUGACAUAUUCUAUGAUACGACAUAUGACAAGGCGUGUUGCUCUACUGUCCUGCGUACAUAUAGACACAUCCGUUGGGCAACGAUCAUAUAUUUAAUAUCUUAAUCGUGGAGUGUUUAUCAACAAAUUUGAUUGAUUAAGACAACAGAUAAUUCUUUUAAGAUGCUGCUGGAUAGUUUUAACAACAUUAAACAUGAUUAUGAAGAAGGUAAUAAAUAUAUGUCACCACGCAAGAGUAGGGAGUUUAUUUUGAAAAAGUGAUAUAAUUUUUAUACCACCAUACUUCUAUAAGGGCUAAAAGAAUGUCCUCACGGGUCAUCAGGUCUGAAAGGGUUUUACCACCUUGGU